AGAACGAACGCUGGCGGCAUGCCUAAUACAUGCAAGUCGAACGAACUCUUCGGAGUUAGUGGCGCACGGGUGCGUAACGCGUGGGAAUCUGCCCCUUGGUCCGGAAUAACAGUUGGAAACGACUGCUAAUACCGGAUGAUGACGAAAGUCCAAAGAUUUAUCGCCAAGGGAUGAGCCCGCGUAGGAUUAGCUAGUUGGUGAGGUAAAGGCUCACCAAGGCAACGAUCCUUAGCUGGUCUGAGAGGAUGAUCAGCCACACUGGGACUGAGACACGGCCCAGACUCCGUACGGGAGCAGCAGUAGGGAAUAUGGAC
rnacentral:rRNA from 1 species